rnacentral:tRNA from 1 species
AGCUCAGUCAGUAGAGCGUGGCGCUAAUGACGCUAAGGUUGUGGGUUUGAUUCCCGU